GAUGAACGCUGGCGGCGUGCCUAAUACAUGCAAGUCGAGCGAACGGACGAGAAGCUUGCUUUUCUGAUGUUAGCGGCGGACGGGUGAGUAACACGUGGAUAACCUACCUAUAAGACUGGGAUAACUUCGGGAAACCGGAGCGAAUACCGGAUAAUAUUUUGAACCGCAUGGUUCAAGAGUGAAAGACGGUCUUGCUGUCACUUAUAGAUGGAUCCGCGCUGCAUUAGCUAGUUGGUAAGGUAACGGCUUACCAAGGCAACGAUGCAUAGCCGACCUGAGAGGGGGGUCGGCGGCACUAGAACUGAGACGCGGCCCAGACUACUACGGGAGGCAGCAGUAGGGAAUAUUACGGCAUGGGCGAAAGCCUGCCGGAGCAGCGACGCGUGGGUGAUGAAGGUCUUCGGAUCGUAAAACUCUGUUAUUAGGGAAGAACAUAUGUGUAAGUAACUGUGCACAUCUUGACGGUACCUAAUCAGAAAGCCACGGCUAACUACGUG
rnacentral:rRNA from 1 species